rnacentral:tRNA from 1 species
GCGUCGAUAGUCUAGUGGUAGGACCUCAGCCUUCCAAGCUGAUGACCUGGGUUCGAACAACGCGAAGCUUUACUUCGCGGGCUUUCCUUUGGAAAAGCAAAUCGAAAGUCCCAGUCGACGCA